GACGAACGCUGGCGGCGUGCCUAACACAUGCAAGUCGAACGGAGUUAAGGAAGCUUGCUUUUUAACUUAGUGGCGAACGGGUGAGUAACGCGUGAGAAACCUGCCUUUCAGUGGGGGACAACAGUUGGAAACGACUGCUAAUACCGCAUAAUGUAUUCGGACGGCAUCGUCUGGAUACCAAAGCUUUAUGUGCUGAAAGAUGGCUUCGCGUAAGAUUAGGUAGUAGGCGGGGUAACGGCCCACCUAGCCGACGAUCUUUAGGGGUUCUGAGAGGAAGGUCCCCCACACUGGUACUGAGACACGGACCAGACUCCUACGGGAGGCAGCAGUGAGGAAUAUUGGUCAAUGGGCGGAAGCCUGAACCAGCCAAGUAGCGUGAAGGAUUACAGCCCUACGGGUUUUAAACUUCUUUUAUAUAAGAGUAAUGUGCACUACGUGUAGUGUAUUGCAAGUAUUAUAUGAAUAAGCAUCGGCUAACUCCGUG
rnacentral:rRNA from 1 species